rnacentral:lncRNA from 1 species
UCAUAUAUAUUUUUAACUUCUAUUGUAGAUAUCAAAAUUUCGGUGAAAUAAAUGUUGGCCAUUGCAUUAAAAUUACAUUUGUAGACAUUGAAAUUUCGGUAAAAUAAAUGUUGACCAUUGCAUUAAAAUUACAACAUCCACUCAUUUCACCUACAUCAUACACUUAAUUCACCUACAACAAUCCACCCAAUCCACCUACAAUAUCCACCAAAGCAAAAGGAUGGUGGUAAUUCAUUCUCAAAGCCUAUAAAUAGGCCUCUCUAUCAAAGGAUCAAGCGAGAAAAUUUACAUACACUUUCUCUACUCUUAAGCAAAUCCCGAAGAAUCAAGAAAGCCCUCUUCGUUCUUCGUGAGAUCCUCCUUCAAGAUCAAGCUCCAACGGCCCUUGAAGAACUUCCACUAAUUCAAGAUCAAGCCCCGACGGCCCUUGAAGAAAGUCUUCAUCAUUCAUCAACCGUUCAUCCAGGAUUAAGCCCCGACGACCCUUGGAUCAACAACACAAUCCACAAAUUUACACAUCACGAAGAUAGAAUCAGAGGCUAAAUUUGUAGAAGAGAUUGUAACCCUUAAAUCAUUAAUACAAAUAUUCUUUUGUACACGUGUUCUUGUCUCAUUCAUUGCAGGAAUUUCAGUGUUUACAAAUUUGGCACGCCCAGUGUGACAAUCUCUACCUCUCAUCUCUACCUUCGUAAUCAGUA